UUAACUUAUUAUAUAGUACUCAGACGACACUUAACACAGAGUUGGGGUCCUCUGGCAGACGCGCCCCAGCCGAAGCCGAGGGCCCGAAGGCGGCCUGCCAAAGCAACAAUAGUAAAUAACACAGGGUGGGAGGUCUACCCGUGAGGGCAUGAUCUCUGUAAUGAUCCUUCCGCUGGUUCACCAACGGAAA
rnacentral:misc_RNA from 1 species